rnacentral:lncRNA from 10 species
GGCAGAAGAGGCAUGUGGAGGUUUGAGGAAUAAGAAGGUAAGAAACAGUUGUUCAGGAGAGUGGCAGAAAAAGUGGACGAGAGAAUGUACCAGGCUAGCUGGGAAGCACUUAGGACCCACCUAAGGCCAAUGGUAACAAAGUUAAAAUUAGCCCAGUUAGCACAGUUGUGUAUGUACUGGGAGGGUCUAAGUUAGCCUAGGAGUGGGAGUGCCAAGGAGGCCUUCCCUUCGAAGUGAUGUUUGAGCUGAGGAAGGAGGGAUGCAUAUGCAUUAAGCAGAUGGUAAAAAGUUUCAGACAGAAAGUAAGCCUGAGUGAAGUCCCCAAGGAAGGGAACAUCAGAGUAGGUUUGAGGAACUGAUGGACAGGCAAUAGGCAGCCCAAGAAAAACAAGAGAGAAAGAGGCACAGAAAGAGGGAGGCAGGACCUUGGGGGCCAUGCCAUAGGUGUUGGUUCUAUCCUGAAAGCAACAAGAGGCCACUGAAAGAUUUGGGGUGGGAAUACAUGAUUACAGUUUUAUUUUGAAAAGAUCACUCUGACCACUAGGUGGAAGGGCAGAGGUCUAGGUGAGGACAAGGAGUCAAAGCAGGAAGACAAGUGUGGCUGUUGUAGUAGUCCAGGCAAGUGAUCGUGGUGGUUUGGACUGGGGAGCUGUCAAUGGAGAUGUAGGUGAGAAAGAGGGUCGUGUCAAAGGUGAUGUCUAGGUUUCCCACUGGGUGCACAGUGAUUUGAUUCACUGAGAUAGGGAAGUCUGAGGGAGAAAUGUGUUUGGUGGAGGAAGGUCACAAGAUCUAGUUGGGUAUGUCACACUUCCCCAGAAGAAGCUUGAAGGCCCUUGCGAAAAUCCAGGCAAGAGAUGCCAGUGGCCUGAACUAGAGAUGCUGAAAAGAUAAUACUUCCCCAGACAACUGGAAGUUGUGGCCAGAUCACUUGAGGCCAGGAGUUCACGACCAGCCUGGCCAACAUGGCAAAACUCUGUCUCUACUAAAAACACAAAAAUUAGUGAGGCAUAGUGGCAGACAUCUGUAAUCCCAGCUACUCGGGAGGCUGAGGCAGGAGAAUCGGUUGAACCCAGGAGGCGGAUGUUGCGGUGAGCCGAGAUCAUGCCACUGCAUUGCAGCUUGGGUGACAGAGUGAGACUCUGUCUCAAAAAGGAAAAAAAAAAAAAAAAGAACAUUUAACUCAUAGGACUGGGUGAUUGCUGGAAUGUGAGGGGAGAAAGUGAGGGACAAGAUGACAUCCAGCUUUCUGACUUGACAGCUAAAUAGGAGGCAAAGAAGGAGAAGCCAGUCUGGGAGCAAGUGAAGCUAGGUGUUCC